rnacentral:rRNA from 1 species
AGCCUGCGGCUUAAUUUGACUCAACACGGGAAACCUCACCCGGCCCGGACACGGACAGGAUUGACAGAUUGAGAGCUCUUUCUCGAUUCCGUGGGUGGUGGUGCAUGGCCGUUCUUAGU